rnacentral:rRNA from 1 species
UACGAAGGGGGCUAGCGUUGUUCGGAAUCACUGGGUGUAAAGGGCGCGUAGGCGGCCGAUCAAGUCGGGGGUGAAAGCCUGUGGCUCAACCACAGAAUUGCCUUCGAUACUGUUUGGCUUGAGACCGGAAGAGGUUAGUGGAACUGCGAGUGUAGAGGUGAAAUUCGUAGAUAUUCGCAAGAACACCAGUGGCGAAGGCGGCUGACUGGUCCGGUUCUGACGCUGAGGCGCGAAAGCGUGGGGAGCAAACAGG